ACCUUGAAUUGGGGGGUGGGGGUAUAGAAAGCUCUACUACAGCCUCGGCAUGAAGACCCAACAUGGCCUCGGUAAGCAAUGCUAGCCACACGGACCAGGUUCCUGCACAUUCGGAAUUUUUGUGGAUCCUGGAAUAGAGACACAUUCUGAUGACUAAGACCAGAGGACAAAGGCUUUCCAGUGCAAUGCAUAGCAGCACAGAAGCAUACAAGGAGGCUUCGUAGAGGGAGGGACCCCCUGCACAGGACCCAGGCUUGGAACCAGUCAUUGGCCAGACACAGAAAGGGAUAGUUGUUCCAAGUAAAGAACAGCCUCUGAGUGGAGCCUGCAGAGUGGAGGAAGGAUGCGGCUGAAAUCCUGGACCAGGCAGAGGACCACAGCACUCCCAGAAAGGGACAUGGGACUUGGACGUCCUUGCUGCAGUCGCAGGAAUAAAGUAUGUCUUACUACCAGGCACAAGAUUUGCUAGAUAGCAAGGCAAGAAGCUUGUGGCAAGAUAAGAGUGUAUAGUUUCAAGGUUUGUGUUUUGCUUUUGUUCAAAAUUGUUCUCAAAUUAGUAAUCCCCCUGCCUCAGUUUCUUUCAUGCUAAGAUUCUAAGAGCCGGACAUCAAGACCAAAUGACCAAGUCCUCCAUCCCAAC